rnacentral:lncRNA from 1 species
CUCAGCCUUGACCUCCCUCAGCGUGGCCGGGACCCUGAGCCUCUGCGCAGAGCCACCCGCCCCGACGUACUUAGGCGGCAUAGCCCUGAGACCUCUGGCCAGCGCCAGGCAGGCAGCGGGGGCGGCAGAGGCCUGGGCCUGAGUCUUCUGGCUCUGCCUCUCCCUGGGGACAGGAGGGAGCCUGGGGGUGUGGGUGGGGAGCCGGCCGGCCGUGACCCAGCGCCUGGCUCUGCCCGCAGGAGUGGACAGUGCAAUGAAGGAAGAAGUGCAGAGGCUGCAGUCCAGGGUGGACCUGCUGGAGGAGAAGCUGCAGCUGGUGCUGGCCCCACUGCACAGCCUGGCCUCGCAGGCACUGGAGCAUGGGCUCCCGGACCCCGGCAGCCUCCUGGUGCACUCCUUCCAGCAGCUCGGCCGCAUCGACUCCCUGAGCGAGCAGAUUUCCUUCCUGGAGGAGCAGCUGGGGUCCUGCUCCUGCAAGAAAGACUCGUGACUGCCCAGCGCCCCAGGCUGGACUGAGCCCCUCACGCCGCCCUGCAGCCCCCAUGCCCCUGCCCAACAUGCUGGGGGUCCAGAAACCACCUCGGGGUGACUGAGCGGAAGGCCAGGCAGGGCCUUCCUCCUCUUCCUCCUCCCCUUCCUCGGGAGGCUCCCCAGACCCUGGCAUGGGAUGGGCUGGGAUCUUCUCUGUGAAUCCACCCCUGGCUACCCCCACCCUGGCUACCCCAACGGCAUCCCAAGGCCAGGUGGGCCCUCAGCUGAGGGAAGGUACGAGCUCCCUGCUGGAGCCUGGGACCCAUGGCACAGGCCAGGCAGCCCGGAGGCUGGGUGGGGCCUCAGUGGGGGCUGCUGCCUGACCCCCAGCACAAUAAAAAUGAAACG